rnacentral:rRNA from 1 species
AGAAUCUUCCGCAAUGGACGCAAGUCUGACGGAGCGACGCCGCGUGGAGGACGAAGGCAUUAGUGUUGUAAACUCCUGUCACGGAUUAUGAAUGCGCGUACGUUAACAGCGUGCGCGUUGACGUAAGUCCGAGAGGAAGCACCGGCUAACUCUGUGCCAGCAGCCGCGGUAAUACAGAGGGUGCAAACGUUGUUCGGAAUCACUGGGCAUAAAGCGCACGUAGGCGGCACGCUAAGUGUGGAGUGAAAUCCCACGGCUUACCCGUGGAACUGCUCUGCAUACUGGCGAGCUCGAGGACAGUAGGGGAGAGCGGAACUCUUGGUGGAGCGGUGAAAUGCGUAGAUAUCAAGAGGAACACCGAUGGCGAAGGCAGCUCUCUGGUCUGUUUCUGACGCUGAGGUGCGAAAGCUAGGGUAGCGAAC